rnacentral:lncRNA from 11 species
UAUACUAUACUAUAGUAAUUCUAGGCAUUGUUGUCCAAAAUUGUAACUUUCCUGUGUCUGAUCGGCAUAGCGGGAUGUCCUGGUCAGCCAUGGAAUUGGAAACCAUUGGAUGUCAUGGGCAGGUCAAACUCUCUCAGCCUCAAAAGAAGGCAAAGGUGAACUGAUGCAGCCUCCAAGAAUGUCCCAUUGACAUCGACAUAAGAAGAAAAUCACGAAAAUAAGCCAGUAUGCAGCCUAAUACUGCUGAGAGCUGGCAGUGGAUAGAGGAACUAAAUGAUACAUGGGAUUAAUAGAAUGUUGAUGAGAAAUUUGAAGAUGAGGUUCAGGGAAUUAGCCUGAGAAGCAGGCUGAUCUUUUAUGACAUAACUAAUUACGCCGGCAAUAAAAAGACAUUGCGUUGAUUAAUCAUUUUGCCUUCUUGGCGGGAGGC